AUUGAACGCUGGCGGCAUGCCUUACACAUGCAAGUCGAACGGUAACAGGUCUUCGGAUGCUGACGAGUGGCGAACGGGUGAGUAAUACAUCGGAACGUGCCUAGUAGUGGGGGAUAACUACUCGAAAGAGUGGCUAAUACCGCAUGAGAUCUACGGAUGAAAGCAGGGGAUCGCAAGACCUUGUGCUACUAGAGCGGCCGAUGGCAGAUUAGGUAGUUGGUGGGAUAAAAGCUGACCAAGCCGACGAUCUGUAGCUGGUCUGAGAGGACGAUCAGCCACACUGGGACUGAGACACGGCCCAGACUCAUACGGGAGGCAGCAGUGGGGAAUUUUGGACAAGGGGCGCAAGCCUGAUCCAGCAAUGCCGCGUGCAGGAUGAAGGCCUUCGGGUUGUAAACUGCUUUUGUACGGAACGAAAAGCCCCGGGUUAAUACCCUGGGGUCAUGACGGUACCGUAAGAAUAAGCACCGGCCAACUACGUGCCAGCCGCCGCGGUAA
rnacentral:rRNA from 1 species